CAUUUGCUCUCUCCUAGCCAAAGACAGGUCCAGGACCACAGGCCCCUCCCGAGCUGGCCCCUGUACUGUUUUUUCUCUUUUUCAGUGGGGCCUAAGAUGGGACUAGGAUGCUCUCAGCAUGUUUGGCGAACUGUUGGUGUCGUGGGCUCGCAUGUGCGAAGUAGAGGUCAUCGACUUUAGGCCAUCACAUAUAAGACAAAGGAAGGACGUCAGAGCCUGAGGUGUCUAUCAAGAACACAAGUGACCUUUGUCCAGGGAGCUGGCUCAGGCGGCGAUGAGAGUACCAACUGCUGCGGAUGGUUACCCGGCAGGAAGACGCUUGGAGGAAGCGGUACCUGCGUCAGGGAAACCUAAACCAAGACACCAUGAAUAAGGAAUGGUCUUUGUCCUUGAUAAGUUCACAUACAAAGGUGUGGGAAGACAUAAACUGGCUUGGUACAAUUUGGAAUUCCUGGGAAUCACUGGUGUCGGGUCUCAGGGCAGAUGGAGGCGUUUGUUUUGCUGGUUGCCCUUUGCAGUACCACCAAGGACGCCUUGAGGAAGCACGUGAGCGGAUGCACUGGGGGAAGGCCUGGUGACCCGGCCCGAGGCCUUUGCUUCCGCACAGGGGGGCCUGAGUGUGCUACCCCCAGGGGACUGAUUUGCUACACAAAUUCCUCCUGCUUUCCACCUCCCCAAACAAUCCUGAAAUAGGAAUAUGGAGCUUAAAGCUUGUGUCAUAUAAGAUAAAGCUCUUGCUCACGCUCUUGGGGAGUGUCAGAUGCUUGCAAAGGGCUUGCUAAGGGUCUCUGCAGGCCUGUUAGGACCAAUGUGCUUUCCCAGGCGUGCGGCCCAGUGCCGUGUGAUGGAUGCCCAGCUUCACGCCUGCAGCGUGGCAGGAUUAAUCCACCUCUUCCAUUGCCUUUGCUGUGCGCCUCAGUUCCCACCCCUGUCCUCCCACAUUCUCCUCCCACUGCCAUCAUCGUCAGCCCUCCUAGAGUGCCCCCAAACACACAUACAGUCCCCAUGAAAACACUGCGCAUGGUGAGAAAAUAUUCUUCAAGCCGGAGUUCCCAGCCCUCCAGCCAGGCGCUGCACGUACAGAAAUUCUGGAAUUGCCACUCAGCGGACCCGACUGCUGCUUUCCCGGUCACCCUCACAGAUCAUUCUUAGGGGACAAGGCACCCAGCUUCUCUUUCCCUACAUUCCAGCUUGGGAAGAAUGAAGCCUACGGUACAAGAGCAUUGUUUCAAUAAUAUUAUUAACCUUCGCAGCAUUACUCAGGACUCAAAAAAAUCACUGGCUACAAACAGCCAUUAGCUCUGCCUCUGGACAACAGGAUCACGUCUGUGAAAAGGACCCAAUUCAGAGACCUCAGGAUGGAGCUAAGAGAUGAAAAGGAAAGCUUGGUGGUGCUUUGGAAGACCCGUAGUCUCAACGUCCACUUCCUAUUUUACACUCUCAAGGCCAUAAAAAUGCCUUUGACCUCAUA